GACGAACGCUGGCGGCGUGCUUAACACAUGCAAGUCGAACGGAAAGGCCCUGCUUUUGUGGGGUGCUCGAGUGGCGAACGGGUGAGUAACACGUGAGUCACCUGCCCUUGACUUUGGGAUAACUUCAGGAAACUGGGGCUACUACCGGAUAGGAGCUCCUGCUGCAUGGUGGGGGUUGGACAGUUUCGGCGGUUGGGGAUGUACUCGCGGCUUAUCAGCUUGUUGGUGGGGUAGUGGCUUACCCAGGCUUUGACGGGUGGCCGGCCUGGGAGGGUGAACGGCGACAUGGGGACUGAGAGACGGCCCAGACUCCUACGGGAGGCAGCAGUGGGGAAUAUUGCACAAUGGGCGGAAGCCUGAUGCAGAAACGCCGCGUGCGGGAUGACGGCCUUCGGGUUGUAAACCGCUUUCGCCUGUGACGAAGCGUGAGUGACGGUAAUGGGUAAAGAAGCACCGGCUAACUACGUG
rnacentral:rRNA from 1 species